GGUGCUUGUGCUGGCUUCCAAAGUGAAGCGGAGAUGAACAUGGCUUUGCAUAGCUGUUGUUCUACGCCAACUUACCUACUCUUGCUGGUACCGUAGUGGUAUAUUGCAAAUUUCGUGGAUGAACAAUUUGAGUCACUAGUGGCUAGUGAGCAACACUAACAGAGCCUUGACGUUGCUGGACGAGCGACAAUAUAAAUUACAUAAACGUGUAGCUCAUAAUGUGGGAUGACUGCCGUAUUGCAUUGCCAACGCAAACCCAUCCUGUGUCAGUGCAGCCAUCCAGCAACGUACUCCCCGGACCAGAUGCCGCUGCAGCUGAACACCAUGCC